UGGGGAAUAUUGCGCAAUGGAGGAAACUCUGACGCAGCAACGCCGCGUGAGUGAAGAAGGUUUUCGGAUCGUAAAGCUCUGUCUUUGGGGACGAAUAAAAUGACGGUACCCAAGGAGGAAGCCCCGGCUAACUACGUGCCAGCAGCCGCGGUAAUACGUAGGGGGCAAGCGUUGUCCGGAAUUACUGGGCGUAAAGAGUACGUAGGCGGUUUGUUAAGUUAGAUGUGAAAGUUUGCAGCUCAACUGUAAAAGUGCAUUUAAAACUGGCAGACUUGAGUCUCGGAGAGGUAAGCGGAAUUCCUAGUGUAGCGGUGAAAUGCGUAGAGAUUAGGAAGAACACCGGUGGCGAAGGCGGCUUACUGGACGAGUACUGACGCUCAGGUACGAAAGCGUGGGGAGC
rnacentral:rRNA from 1 species